AACGCACAUUGCGCCCCUCGGUAUUCCGGGGGGCAUGCCUGUUCGAGCGUCAUUACACCACUCAAGCCUGGCUUGGUAUUGAGCGCCGCGGUCCGCCGCGCGCCCUAAUGUCUUCGGCUGAGCCGUCCGUCUCCCAGCGUUGCGGUAAACGAUCCGCUGCGGAGGCCGGAGGGCUUGAUCGCCGUUAAACCCCCCAAAUUUUUCAGGUUGACCUCGGAUCAGGUAGGGAUACCCGCUGAACUUAA
rnacentral:misc_RNA from 1 species